UUUCAGCUCUCUCUCUACCCGAGACCUUCUCUCUCUACCUUCUCGCCGGAAAUCGCCCCACCGCCGCUGGAAAAUGCCAAAACCUCCAAAUUUUCUUGAUUUCUUCUUCUCCUCUACCCAAAUCUAAGCAUGAUAUCAUGAGAUAAAGCCUCAAAGCCAUGAAAUCUCUCAAACCCUAAAGCAAACAAGAGGGGUUCUCAAGAUUUCUCCGUUCAUAGGUUGAUUUGAGAUUAUUUGGAGAUAUCUCCAAGUUAGUAGUCAUAAUCAAAGAGAGGAGUAAAAUCGUCAUCUUUGGAGAUAGAGUGUUGUCAGAGGAACCAAGGAGGAGAUCGAUUGAGUUUUUGGUGAAAUCCUAAGGGGACUCGAGUUCAUGUAGGAAACUUUAGCGAAGUGGACCAAAGUGGAGACACGCCUAUUAUAUCCAGUUUCAUCAACCUGUGUUUAGUCCAUGUGACACCAAGACAAAGAAAAACAAAUCCCAUAGUCCCUGCACACACAGAUAUCACAAGUUCAAGGGUCCAGUUUUCUCCUUCACCGUGUCCAUGUG